AUGGCGAGCAGCGGCGAGGUGCAGAGAUCGCUGCAGGCGGUGGCGCAGGGGCUGCGGUGGACGUACGCCAUCCUCUGGCAGCUCAGCCCCGACCAAGGCGCACUGGUGUGGGUGGAGGGGCACUACAACAGCGCCAUCAAGACGCGCAAGACGGUGCAGCCGGCCGUCGCCCAGGCGCAGGCGCCGGCGGCGGCGGCGGAGGCAGCCGACCAGGCCCGGAGCCGGCAGCUGCGGGAGCUGUUCGACUCGCUGGCCAGGGAGGCUGCCGCGGGCGGCGGGACAGGCUUCAGGGACGUCCACGGCUGCGCCCAGGAGGCUCGGCGGCCCAGUGCGGCGCUGGCGCCGGAAGACCUGACGGAGACGGAGUGGUUCUAUCUCAUGUCUGCCUCCUACUCCUUCCCUUCCGGCGUCGGGUUACCUGGAAGGGCCUUUGCAAGGGGAGGGCACGUAUGGCUUAGUAGAGCAAAUGAAGUUGACAGCAGGGCAUUCUCAAGAGCAAUACUUGCCAGGAGUGCAGGAAUCAAGACGAUCGUAUGCAUGCUGAUUGUCGACGGUGUCCUGGAGAUCGGGACCACAAAAAAGAAAAGGUGGAGGAAGAGAUAG
rnacentral:rRNA from 1 species